UGGAUUAUGCUUACCUAUCACAAGGAAUAGGACUAGAUAGAAAGUUUGGCUGGGGCGGCACACCUUCGAAAGAGCAGCGAAGGUGUCCUAAGUUGAGCUCAGUGAGGACAGAAAUCUCACGUUGAGGAUAAGGCCAAAAGCUCAAUUUACUGUGCCUUUUUGUACUAGGAUCAGUUACGAAAGUAAGGCCUAACGAUCCCUAAAUAGCCUCAGGUGCGUGAGGAUUGGGGUGACAGACAAGUUACCUCCGGGACAACUGGCUUGUGGCUGCUAAGAGAUCAAAUCAACGCAGCUUUUUGAUUCUUCGAUGUCGGCUCUUCCUAUCCUAGUGAUGUACAAGUUGCUAAGGGUCGGAUUGUUCACCCGUAUUAGGGAUCGUGAGCUGGGUUUAGACCGUCGUGAGCCAGGUUUGUUUUAUCCUACUGGAUAUAGCAUCAUGAUAGUAGAUUGAUUUAGUACGAGAGGAACUGUUGAUUAUGGCCUCUGGUUAGCGAUUAUCGGAAACGGUAUGUCGCGCAGCUACGCCGUCUGGGAUAAUGGCUGAAAGCCUCUUAAGCCAGAAGCCCAUCUAGAAAGUGAUGCACGUGAUGUUGGACCGAUACGAAUAAUCAUACUCAAAAGGUCCGCUUCAUAGGUAACCCAAUGUAGAAGACAUUGUGUGAACGAAGGUACUGUAAGCAGUGGAGUGGCAUUACGUCCACGACCUGUUGAGGUUCAGCUUCGCUUCUAGGUUUCC
rnacentral:ncRNA from 1 species